AGUGAACGCUGGCGGUAGGCCUAACACAUGCAAGUCGAACGGCAGCACAGUAAGAGCUUGCUCUUACGGGUGGCGAGUGGCGGACGGGUGAGGAAUACAUCGGAAUCUACUUUUUCGUGGGGGAUAACGUAGGGAAACUUACGCUAAUACCGCAUACGACCUACGGGUGAAAGCAGGAGAUCUUCGGACCUUGCGCGAUUGAAUGAGCCGAUGUCGGAUUAGCUAGUUGGCGGGGUAAAGGCCCACCAAGGCGACGAUACGUAGCUGGUCUGAGAGGAUGAUCGGCCACACUGGAACUGAGACACGGUCCAGACUCCUACGGGAGGCAGCAGUGGGGAAUAUUGGACAAUGGGCGCAAGCCUGAUCCAGCCAUACCGCGUGGGUGAAGAAGGCCUUCGGGUUGUAAAGCCCUUUUGUUGGGAAAGAAAAGCAGCAGGUUAAUACCCCGCUGUUCUGACGGUACCCAAAGAAUAAGCACCGGCUAACUUCGU
rnacentral:rRNA from 1 species